UUUGAUGUGCUAUUUAUAUUUUUACUGAUAAAUAUCAAAACAAAGUAAAAAGGAGAUCGUUAUGUGCACUCUCGGAUAUCAUCUUAAAAGCCGGUGAGUCAUCAAUGUUGCUCUUCAGAGACACUGCUCUGUGCUUUGUCCCAGCUAAAUGUGGCUGGAGGCUUGGCAUCAGGUGGGUCCUUUGGACAGUCAAGCCCUUCCUGUGGGCUUGGGGACCAUUUCCAGUUUCCAUUUGUCUCUGUGCUGGGAGUAACCACUUGUUAAAAGACUCCCUCCCAUCUCCUCCCCAGCUUGCCCCAAAGUCAGCUUCCACGGCUGCUAGAUCAGCUCCCUAGUCACCAGGCUGACUCUAGAGCUGGUCUUAGUAUCCUUCCUGCCACCCCCGCCACCUUGCCAUUUGCCACUCCAUACAGGGAUGCUCUUGACUUCUGAGUGCCUAGGUAAAUGUUCAUUUUCUUUUGGUCCCGCCUGUGCAACAGUGCUGUGGGAAGAUUUCCAGCCCCACAGAGACCUGUGAUCUUAUCCAGCCUGGGCCUCUGGCUGGCCAUAUGAUCUCACUCACACAAGCCUCAGUCUGCUUACCUGAAAAUGGGGGUACUAAUGCAAUCUGUCUGCAAGAGGUAUCAUGAGGAGAUACAAGAGGAAGGCUCGAAGUAAGAGGAGGAGCCCCAGGAAGGAGGAGAGGCUGUGGAGGCAGACCUGGGGUCCAACUGCUGCUCCACCACCUCCUGGCUAUGGAAUUGGAUCUGUGGUGAUGUUGAUGACAGUCUUAGGAUGGAAUUAUGAAUUUCCACCCACCUUCUUUGUCUGCUUCCUCCCAUCAUGGCACUUCUUUGUCUAAACAUGGCUUCCCUUUGAACACAUCCACAAAUCGGCCUUUCCCUGACCUCUGGAAACAUCCAAGCACCAAGGCUUAGCCACCAGGGCUGCAUGCCUGUCCCCGCCUGUCUGAGAAAGCAGGCGGGGCCUCCCUCUGCUGUCUCAGAUGGGCCAGGCCCCAGCCCAGCGCUACCAUUGACUCGUACUUGAAUCCAACUCAUCUUGAUUUUAUGAGAACCAUCCCUGAAAAUCCUCAUGUUCAAUAGACGACACCAGGGAACCGUGGAGCAGGCCUGUCAUUUGAAUAAUCAGCCAUUUAGUGACAUGUCUAGCCUGGUUUAAUGACUGAAUCAGUGAAAGUAUGACCCCGAGUGCCGGUUAACUUUUAAAAUAGCUGUGCCCACUGCAUGACACAGCCAACAGGAAACCAUUAAGGCCCUAGCAAUUACCACUUCCAUCCAUCGGCAAAGUCCCUAUUUUAUUUUAAUCUGCGUAAGUGCAUUUUCUGCACGAGGUUAAAAUAUAAAUCCCUUCUCCUGAACAAGACUGGUUUUCUGGCUGACUUGAGAGCACAAUUUACAACUGAUUUAAUUUGUUCUUCACAAACAUUCCUAAUGACAUUACCCCGGUGCAUAUACAGACUGCCUCCUCUUAUUCCAUUAACUCCCAAAUCGGGUUUAAAGACCAUAUUGAUGCUAGAUGUUAUUAUGGGUGAUUAUCAAAACAACAGACAAUGCGGCAAAGUGUUUACUAACUGGUUUAUAUAUAAUUUCUGUAAUAACGACAACAGAUGGUAAUGCUACAAACACUAAAUCACGCUUUUCGCCGCUGAAACAAAUUGGCAGCCUGCAGUACAGAAAUGGUGUACGUAGCUAUAUACAGAUGCUUCAGUCAUCAGCUAUAGUGUUCAUCUUAUUAGGAAAUGGGUCUGUUACUGCUAUUACAGGUAAUCUUUCCAUUUACAAUUACAAAUGUAUAUUUUCAAUGAAAAUGGUUUUCCGCAGCUAAGCUGCCUGUAGGAUAUUUCCCCUCUAAUUACUGCCCCAGUGAAUGUGCGCCCAGGCCAUGCCAUGCACAGGGUUAUGUUUGUCCUAGUUAAUGAUGGCGGCUGCAUUUUAGUUGCUCUGAGAUGGGUCCUCUCCAAGACCCUCCACCUCUCGCCGGCAAGACCACAAUACAGCCCCAGGCAGUGGGUUCAUUAGGACUUUAGAAGCAGAGUAUGAACAGGAUAAGAAGCAGCUGAACGUGAGAGGGCUCUUCCUUGAGCCUGUCUCCAGUGAUUCUCCAAUCCCCUGCCCCUGUCAUUGAUAAGCUCCACCUGGCCUUUUGAAAAUGCUAAGCCAACAUCCAAAGGGCCUUUGGAGGAAGGGGCUUGCCCAUGUCAUGCAGCGGCAGGGCCAGGACACUGACGCUGGCCCCCAAUGGGGAAUUCAAAGUUUCUUUUGUCCCACUGCGAACUCUUUCCCAUCCCAGGCACUAUGGAUGCUACCCCAGGGGACCCAAGUCUGACUCAGUGGCCUGAGUCUCAAUGGCUGCAUCGUGAGUGCCACAUGUGGAUUCUGUCAUGAAAUUCAGCAGAAACUCCAUAAAGUGGACACCAUUGUUAACCCACCUUGUGGAGGAGGAACCCGUGAGCCAGCACAGAGGACCCACUUGCCUGUGAUCUUGUGGCUUGGAGGCAGUAGGACAGGGAUUUGAACUCAAGCUGUCAACUGAAUCCAAAGCCUGUGGGCUGAGCCACUGAACUCUAAGCCUUUCCAGAGGGCAUCGGGGCCUGUGCUCUCCUAGGAAAAACAGAGUUGAACCUUGGAAUAAAGGACAAAAAGCGUUGUGUUUCUGUGCCUCAAGCUCCCACCCUUCAGCUCCUCCACUUUCAGUUUUUCCCACCAGGGUGCCAGCUGAUUCCUAGGCCUGGAUGCUGAAGCCCCAUGCUGGCUGGGAGGAGGAAGGCGGUGCAGAGGCUACAGGAGAGGGACAGAGAUACAGAGCAUUCCGCCAGGCCGCUUACCUGCCGUGGGAGCUUGGCCAGUUCUUCCCCUCAUGCUUCGGUAGUCUCAUCUGCAGAGAGAGAAUCAAAGUGAUGCCUGCUGCCUACGACAGCUCGGGAAGACUGUGUGGAGCCGAUGGUUCAUGCACGUUAGGGAGUUAGAGCAAUGCCCUGCCCAGAUCGGGGCUCCGCAGGGAUGAGCUCCAUUCACUGCAGCCACACUUUUGGGAUGACUCUUGGCUCUGGAAGGCCCCUCGUGGGGUUGGGGUGCUUGCCUUUUUUAGGAUGGACCCCGUUUCUGCAUGCUCCCUACGCUGGGCUUCUGUGCUGGUCUUCUGUGCCUUUGGAGUGAAUUUCACUUCCUUCCUUAUUUGAGGCCCUCUUGGGUCUGAACACUGGCUACCGAGAUCACAAGACUAAUACAUGCCUCGGGUCACAGCGACAGAGGAUGGCUGGGGGUGGGAGUGGUGAGGACACAUUAUUCAGACAAACAAACUGAGGCCCAGGGCAGGGGUGGUUUGCACGAGGUCCUGCAAAGCUAGACUAGGCCUUCUUCCCAUCUUGAAGAGUCCAGAAAACAAAAGAGGACAGGGGCUGGGGUGUGCCUUGGGGCGUGCAGUCACUGGGAAUGCUGUACUCUCUGUCUCCUCCAGCCGCACACCUCUCAAGUGGGCUUCUCAUCUCCAGGAGGCUGUGGGGUCCUCUCGGGAGGCUGGGGCUGCAUCUGGUAUUUCUCUUCAGCCCGCAUGAGCUGGGCCCCCAUGGUCCUCACCAGGUUGCCAGCUUCCAGGCCAGUGGUGGCUCCACUAGGCCUGGGGAACAGCCUUCUGAUCAUUUUGUGGGAGUGGCAUGCUACCCUUGGGCUCCUCCCACAAUGGAUUUUGGAGGCAGCAAUAUGCCUACCGUUUGGCCAGGAGCAAGUGCUCAAAAUCAUCCCCACACGUUUCUGAUGCUGAGAGCAGAGGAGGUAGAGAGCACUUCCCACGCACUCCAGGAACUGGGCCUGGAACCAGGCCCAAACCCGGCCCAAACCCGGCCCAAACCCGGCCCAGGUGCCUGGAAGGCCUCCCUUCCAGUCAGUCCCUGACCACCCAUUUAUCUGAGUGGUUUCACUUGUGUGAAACACACCUUCGGCCCCCUCACUGGGAAACACGGGUUUGAGGAGGAGUGAGAACACAUCCUGCGCGCAGCACUCGCCCACUGUCGGACCCCCGCUGUGUGCCACCUCCCGCUGCCUCCUGCUGCAGGGCAAGGUGGCUCUGAGGACUGACCCAGGACAGGGCCCGCCACGCUCCAGUGAGAAGCCAAUCACGCACUUCCCGAUGACCACUUUGCGAGGAGACAAUGGAUCGUUUCCUCUCUGUAAUUUUCUGCAUGGAGGUCUCCCUGUUGUCCCCUGGCCACAUCCUCCUGACCUCGGAGGCCACCCUGUACCCUCGCCACGCUGCGCCUGCUCCUUACUUGCACAAUGAGCUGCUGUUCUGGGGGCUUUUCCUAGAGGAGCAGUGCUGGCCUUAGCAGUCUGGGAGGAAGCACCUGGUCUGGGUAAAUUUUCAGGAGGACCUGCCUGGGCGUGGGGCCACACUGGCCAGGCUGCCUGCCUGGGCCUCCCUCUGGCCAGGCAUUUGCUAGGCAGAGAACCAGCUCCAGAGUGGGAUACCCAGACCUCCUGCCUUUUUCUACACUGGGGUUGGUCUUUUGCCUUGGGAGGGCCUCGUAGCCUGGUGGAAGAAGCCCACUGGAACAAAACUGAAGUUUAAAUCCCAGUAUAUGGCUUAUCUGACCACAGGCAAAUAACCUCAGUCUUUCAUUCUUUAAACUGGGGAUGAUAGAACCUCCACACGAGGACAUAGCACAGAAUAGGCUCUCAUAAAAUAGAAGUUCUUAUUAUUAGCUGUCCUUGUGACCUCCAUGCAAUUCAUGGGAAUGAUUAGGCGUUUGACAUUCCUUUCCAGAAUCCAAGUCAGUGAGAAGGUCGGCUCUGCCUCCAGUAUCUGCUGUUCCUUCCUCAGUAGACGUGAACUUGAAAACCUUUCCCUGGCCAUAUCUUAAGCAAAUUCCUAAUCAUGGAUGGAUUUUAACCCAUUAACCAUUCCAAAAGGAGGAGUGUAUUCAUUAUGAAAUGUUAUCUGGUUCACCAUCUUCUCUUCUCCCUGAGUGAGGUAUAAGCUCCCUGAACCUGAAUCUGACUCCCAGGAAAGGGCAUGGACUGGGAGUCGGAAGACCUGGAUCCAGUCCUAGGCUGCUGCUUCUUGCUGGCCAGUGUCUUGGUGAGUCAAGUCCCUUGAGCAGUGAGAUUUUUUGUCAUUAAUGUGAGGAAGAUGUUAUAGUGAUUCAUCUCUGAGGGUCCUGGAAGGACUGACAUUCUUAAUAAUUGAACAGAAGCGUAAUGAGUGGUACAAAUGUGGAAUCAGGGAAUUUCCAGUGAUGGGCAAAUUCACAACAUGUGAGAAAGGUAGGGAGGGAAAGAGAGAGAGUGGGGGCGGGGAGGGCAACAGUGCAAAAAAGGUGCAAGAAUGGAUGCCCCAAAUUCACUGCGGGUUGUGAAGUCACUCCAGGACCUGGUCUCAAGUCAGCUAACGGUUUCCACACAGUCCCCUGGAGGCCCAUCUCCAUAUAAGGAAAACCAGAGGGAAGAUUAGAUUUGUUUUACAGAGACUUGUUUCACCUCCACGUCAGGAAGGCAUGACUUAUUUGUCUUAGUUGUGGUGUGAUCUAGGCCUGCUUGUAUCUCUGCUUGCUCAGGGUCAGAGAGAAGGCUGGAUUCUGGGAUGCUGCAGGAUUUUGGAAGCAAAGACAGAGAGGGCACCUGGAGAAUGGUUGCCAGAGUGAAAUUCCCCAGACAAUAGAGAUAAUUUGGAACUGUUUAAAGAACAAGGGUAAGUUCUCUGAAUGCUGCUCUUCUCAGGCUGAUCCCCAAAAGCAGAGAACUGAAGUCUCUUUCCCCACCGAGUACCGGUGACAGAGAGGGAGGAUGGCCACUCUUUCACAGUAUCUCUUUGGGAAAGAGCUGGCGUCCUCUUGGGCAACAAAAAAAACCCUCCCUCCCACUUGCUUUGUCUUCAUUUCAUCUUUCAGGACCCACAUCCGUAGGACAAGCCAUUUUUUGAGAACCCCACAGAACCAACGACCUUCUUUUUACAGAUAAAGAUGAAAGCCAGAUUUUUUAAUUGGUUUUUAAAAAAUUGCAUGUACUUUUGACAGAGACGAAAGACCCUUUUCCUGGAUGUUAGCUCUGACAUCUUCCUUGUUAGGAUGGGAGAGGAAAAAAAAAAAAUGGACCCUAGGCAUGGAGCUUGCAGGGACCCUGGAAAAGGGGACACCAUCAUGCCACCAUCGAGUUCUGUCAACUGUCAAGUUAAUUAGAACGAAAUUAAAAACACAUUUGCCAAGAUGUUCCGCAGCCAAACCAGUUAAAUAGAGAUUUUAACAAAAUUGAAAGCAUAUUAUACUGAGAUUUGUGGAUUCUGGCCCGGUGAGUGAGUGCUGAAAGUGUGAUAAAAUAGCAAAAUUGCUGCCUAAUAAUCUAUAGAAUAAUAUUGUCAACUAAUGGAUUAUAAUAAAAUAAAAGCUGUUAUUAGGGUAAAACAUUAUAAAAAAAAUCCAACUUUUCUUUGCAGCCCCUCCCCCUUAAUGGUUUUGAGCAUUUUGAAAGGUAAUUUAAACAAGUACAUUGUGUCCUUAUUGAAGCGGCUUCAUCUUGCUAGCUGCUGAAAAUGGCUUUAACCAUCCCUCUGAACAAAAGCACCCCUAAUAAGACAACAAAAAGCCCAAAGCAAUGGCCCAGCGGCAUCGCGCUCUGGCGCAGAGCGAGCCUGCUAAGGCGGCAGCUUUCUCCUUGCAUGUAAUUAGAUGAAUUAAAAGGACAAAGUGGUUAAUGUAACUGUUGUCCGGGGGGCCCCCAGCCCUUUUCAUCCCAUCCAUUUCAGACAAGAGCCUGUGGCUUUUGCUUCAGCAAUGCGGAGAAGAAUGUUGGCGGGGAGGGAAAUUAACAAGCUUAAUCUAUGAGGAAUCUGCUCCGUGUCAUGGAUGAAAUGUAUCUCGAGCAACGAAAGGCUAGUCAUUCCUGCUUCCCUUUUAUAUGCCUAAUAAAACUUACAAUAAAUUAACUGCAUUUUAGUUUGCAGCUAGGCUCUGUUAAUCAGGGAUGAGGCUUCGGGUAGUCAAGUUACAAGAAGGCUUCAGCGGGUGCAUGUCAGCUAUGCGGUUGGGCGGGUUGGCCCCACUCUAAUUAGCCUGGCUUCCCACGUUGACAUUUCAGGUACGGGUUCACUGUUGGGUUUCGCGUCUUCUGUAACGGGGAGUGAGAAGGAAGGUGUAUGUUAUCCAUCCAAUUCACCUGACUGAGGGGUACUGGGACCCUUGGAGUGAAAUCUCUCCAAGAUAAAUAGAUUCCUUAUAGCUCUUCAUCUAAUUGAUAUCAGGGUGUUUCCUUGAUAACUCUGUGCAUUGUUUAUUUUCUGUGAGUGCCUCCUACUCUUCAUACUGUCCUAUUAGGAAUGCUGCCACCAUGGCAACAUCAAUUUUUCAUGCGGGCCCUUAGUAUCAUUCUCCGUAGAACUUUGGGAUAAUGCUUCCAUGGGGUUCCUUAACCGAGAAACUCCAGAAAAGGCGGUGACAUCAGCAAAAGGGAGCCAACUCCUUCCCCGUCUGCCGUUUUGUACUCUUGGCCUAACGUUGACUCAAAACAGCAACUUGGAGCCUUCCCUGACCUGUUGGUAAAAUAUGACUUUGUUUUAUUAUUAAAAAAAUAGAAAGUAGAAAAUUAAAUUCAUUAGCUCCAAUUACUAAAUGAUUCAUCUGGCUGGCUAAUGAAGCUGAGCAUUAUGCUAACAAGAUAAAGGCAAGAAUAACAUGUGGGGGUGUGCGGCUGCAGGCACGCUGGGCCUGUUCUACUGGAAACGCAAGGCUGAGGAGCUCUGUGCCUUGAGAUGGAUGGCAAGGCAUUCCUUUAUCAUCCAACUCCUGCUUCGGGAAAAUUUGUUUCUGUCUGUCUCCAAGAUACAAAAUCAAAAAGGUGUUUUAAUCCUGAGGAAGAGUGUGAGUCUGGGAAAAUUUUGGAUCACCGAGGUGCAGCCAUACCUUCCACAGCCAUCACUGUUGCUUACAACUCACAUGCCAAGAAUUGCAAGAUGAAGAUGGUGAUCAGGAGGCAUGACUUGUAACUACUUGGUUAGUGUAAAGCAGAGAGGAGAAUUAGGAGAGGCAGAUGGCAGAGAGGUCUGCCAUGGAAGAUUCAUGGAUGACAGGAGAGGCUGUGUUCCAGAAGGCAAGGAAGAAGAGCCCAAGGACCGUAGCAAGGCCCUGAUUCUGGGAGACGAGAGAACACGCUGACUUAGAAUGCUUGUCUCUGCAUCCUGGUCAGAAAGUAGAUGGACGACACUUUCAUCUCCGACUGGAUUUUGGUGAGAGAUGGGCAAACCCCGGGCUCUAGGCUGGAGCAGCAGCUCUUGUAUCCACACAAAAUCAGGACUGGUGGAGGGAGCCAUCUUCAAACAUAAAUUUGGUGAGUUUAACAAUCAGAGAUUUGAAAAACACAGAAAUGAACAUUUCUGAUCAAUGACACUGCUGAUCUGAUGCAUCAUAACAGAAACCAGUCAUCAAGGUACAACAAACUGUUCCAAACCACUGAGAAAUGGCUUGUCUGUGGGCUCCCAGUUCAAAUGCUCACAAACCUGGGAGGCUGGUUGAUCAGGGUUGGGAGGGAGGGUCUAGCCAUAGCUCAGCAGCUUCCCUAAGGUUGUUGUGCAUGUCCCUAGCUGGCUUAGUUUGGGCUGAUGUCUUUUACGUGUAGUUCUAGAUGGUUUGAACAUAUUGGCUGUUUCUCGUUUUCUUCUGUUUAAGCGUCUUUUGGCAAUGCACUCCUUGGGUUUGGAAGCUUCCCUCCAAGAUGCUGAGCCCAAUGUUUGGGGAAAGCCAGGGAAACAGAUGCUGGGUCAGUGCUGCUCCCACCUCCUCUGCUCCCCUCCUGAGGGCUCCACUGAGUCACCAGCCAGCAAACAGCCCAUGCGCCCUGGAGCAGAUGGACUGUGGGUACACGAGCCUCUGAACUCUUGGGCAGCAUGGGCACAACAUCCUUUUGGCCUCACCCAAUGACCUGGCUGUGAGGCCAGAGGAGCUCCGUGCUGCUAGGAGAUCCAGGCAGAAACAUCCAGGAGUGGAAGCUCAGCCCAGCGGCUGGGAGGCUGUGGCACCUCCUGUCCACAUGGCAGGCCAGGCCGAGGUGGGCUGGCUACACAGUGGGGCUCCCCCUCUCUGAUAAGGACACAGCAUUUGUCUCCUCCAGAGGAUACAGCACCAAGGCGCCAUCUUGGAAGUAGACUGGAGCUCUUAGCAGACCAGAACCUGUGGGCAUAUUAUGAAUAUUCAGUGAAACAACGUGUGUGCUCACCAGGCAGGAAGAGCUCAGCAAAUGGUGGCUGGUCUGGAAAUUAUUGUCAUCACUAUAAUCCUCAUCGACAUCCUCAGCCUUAUUGUCAUCAUCAUCAACCUCAUCAGUGUCAUCAUCAGCCUCAUCAACGUCAUCAUCAGCCUCAUCACUGUCAUCAUCAGCCCUUUGUCAUCAUCAUCAUCCACCUUGCUGUUCUCUUCCUUGUUGACAUCAUUAUCCUCAUCCUCCUCAUCACCAUCAACAGCAUUAUUUUUAUUUUUUAUUCUUCCACCUGUAAGAGUUUCUUUUCCUCCCUCUUAUUGUUUUCCUCUUGGGAUGACUAGUGGUGAAGGAAGUGUCAGAGGCAAUGACCUCACAGCUGUCGUUGCCAUGGGUGACACCUCCCAGAAAGAGCUUAUUGGAACUUUCAGUCCAGGGGAGUUUCUGCUGUUCCAGGAUGGAGGAAAUGUUCAAGAACUGUGGAGCAUCUGAGAUUUUUUUCCUACUUUUGAUGUCCACCUAGUCAAAGUUCAGCCCUCCAGGAUCUACAGGUGACCAAGAGCCUGCUGUCUGGUUAUGGAAGGUCUCAGCUUUGGUUGUGUCAGUGAAUGAAGACCAGGACAGUCACAGUUGUAUGAGGAGGCUGGGGGCAUCCCUUACAGUCCCUUUGAGGGAGGUGCAGUCCUUGUAGCUGGAUGACCAUAGAGAACCAGCUUCUCUGCUGAACCAGGUUCCCAAAGACACAGCUGACAAGCCUCACCCUGAAAGGGGCUUCUUUGAGGGUUGAGAAGAACAAAGCGGGAGGAACUGUUUUGUCUUCGUGGCUGAAAAGAUUUGCAGCCCCAAAGGAGCAGCAAUGCACAGCUCAUCCGAGAAAGCAUAAACCGCUGAGAACAUUCUCCCCUUCCGAGGGUCCUUUGAAAAUGAACAAGCCCCAGUGUACCGGAAACACAGUGCAGACCCCUGGAUGCCACCUUGUAAACAGGGCCGGGGGCAUGUCCAGCUCUGCUCUACAACAAUCGCCCUGUGUUGUGGGGGAGUGUGGACAGACCCCAUGCUCCCGUUCACUGGAAGGCAAGCGAGAGUUAAGUUUCCUGGACUUCUUCUGAGCACCAUUAUCCGGGGGUAGCGGGCGUAGCCUCCAGAGCCUUGGCCUGUGCAGGUGUUUGCCCCGCACUUGACACUCCCCAACCGGGUGACGUCUCAGGUGUCCGAGGGGGAACUCCAUUCCUGCAGCCCCACCAGGCUCGCCGAAAGCCUGGGCACCAGCAUGCCUCGGGGAGGGCUGAGCCCCAGGCCCGGGAAGGGGUGCCUAGCUGACCCUGGCGUGUGUGUCCUCCUGGCUCACCUGGGGCACCCUGCCUCCCUGUUGGUGUUGUUCUGUCCAGCUCUGUGACCGCCCCACUCUCAACAAUGAGGCGGCCUGUGGUCCUCACUGGCCAAAUGGACUCUCCUCUGGGAGUUUGAAUCUGUAGCAGCCACCCAGAGAAGGAGGGUGGGUGGACUCCCAGGAGCUCCCAGCCCUCUGAAGCCCAGUUUCAUCAUGGACUAUCCAGUAUCCUCCCAACAUUUGCCUUAAGUUUCCACCAAGAAUCUUAAAUGGAACAGAAGAUUUGGGGCAAUGACAUCCACCAGGGUGUCUCUCAGAAACAUGCUGAUGGGACCAUGGAGGGCCUCAUGGAGGCGGGGUCUUUUCCUCUGGGCUCUGACAGAUAAAGGCAUUGAGAGGUGAAGUAGGGAGGGGGUAACGCUGCUGCCAGGUGGGAAGAUGGGGCCCCAGCAGUUGCUGGCUCCUCCGUGCAGUCCCCUGACCUCCUGCCAGAAGGGGGGCAAGGGGGGAGCCCUCCUGAGCCAGGGGCCAUGCUUGGUGUGUCUCCUUUGACUGAAGUCACAGGACUGUUCCACCCAGAACAGCAGGGUUGGGGGAGCCUGGGCACCAGCAUGUCUUGGGAGGGCUGAGCCCCAGGCCAGGGCAGGGGUGCCCCAUGUCACCAUCCCUCAGCCCAGCAUGGCAGACUGACCAUUUGCCUCAGUUUCUCUAAUGCCAUCUGCUCUUCACCUGAGUCAAGGGGAUAAACAAUUUAGAAAAACAAAGCCCCCGAAAAAUGCAAUCUCAGCAUUAGGCAUGGUGUUAUAAUAGAGACAGCAUACAAGAGACUGAAUUCUAGAAGCUGCAAUCAACAGGCCGACUCCCUCCCCAGGGGCAUCAGGGGCUGCCGGGGGUAUCUUGGGCCCACUUACGCACGGGCAUUUCAGGGGUCACAGGAGGUGAAAAAGCAGGCUUGGCUUCAGGUUUAAGGACCAAGAGAGACUCACCAUGCUGUUGCCCCAAAUGGUCACUUUCAAACCCACCAGUGUCCUCCAAAAAAGCUGCUUAUAUUUUUAAACACCAGGGUCAAAUGUUUUAACAAUAAAUUCUUGUCCCGCAGUGAAUAAUUUGCUUUAGUUUCUGUGGGAUUAGUAGUCAUGGAAAGCUAGAGCUUUCCUUGCCUGUACUAACUGUCACUUCUGAUGCACUAAGGACAGGAUUAGGUACAGCCAGAUGACAUUUAUAUACAACAAUUUUUCUGCUAAUAAAAUACCCUACAGAUUCUUAUGCAGCCCCAGCUUCACAUGUCAGAGACUGAAAAUAGCUCUAAUCCUGACUCUCCCUCCACCCCCAGAAUGAGAAGAGCAUCUUUUUAACCCCCAUUUAACAGUAGAGGAAGCCGAGGUUCAGAGAUGGCAGCAGGGAGAUCCCUGACUCCCAUGGCCAGCCGAACAGGGACUGAAACCCAGGUCUACCCUCGGGGAGGUGACAGGCACCCUCCCACCCUCCUCCCUCUUUCCUUUGAAGGUUCAGUUCCAGAUCUUGCCCUGGGUUGAAGCAAGAGAUAGUUAAAAAAAAAAAAAAAAAAAAGAGUAAGAUGAGGCCUCACCAUUCCCAGAACACACUUAGCUUACAUUUUCAGGUGUUGGAAGCCCCGGAGCCUCACAGGGGACCACGCCCACUGCCAGGAGCUGCAGCGAUUCCCCUUUUGUGGUCAGGGAGGCCGUGGAGCCCUGGGUGACCCUGUGACUUCCCAGGCUGCAGGUGGGAUUGAGCCAGGCACUGCGCACGCAGCACUGUGAGCCGCUGGCCCAGGCCAGGCUCCAGAGAUGGGAGCUCCGCGGGUUCACAGUCGUCUGUGACAGCAGAGCUGAGGGGAGGACGCAGACCCUGGCCUGACCUUGGGCUACCUCUCAGGGUUAGGCCACUGCCUCUGCUGCAGACCCAGGCGGCGCCCAAAGCCUGGGCGUCCCUCCGCUGCAGUGAAAGGGAAAAGAAAACCGGGCUGCGGUAAUGCCUGGAGCCAAAAUCUCAGGGAGAAGCCCAGCUCCCGACACCUACCCUCUUAAAGUGCAGUUGGAUUGAAUGAGGCUAAAGGAAGUAACAGGAACCCCGGCCUGGAGGAAGGAGCACGUGCUAUGGGCCUCAGAGGGUGGCAGAGGAGGUCUGCAGGGGCGAGAAUCUCGGACAGAGCCGAGGCACAGGUGAGCGGUGCCCGGCACAGCAGCCUGGUAGAUGGGAUCGGGGCGGACAGCGGGGGAGAGCGGAGAGGGGUCCGCCUGGGUUCACACCCCAACACCCACCAGGAGCCCCUGGGAACCAGUCAGGCCCCCAGCCCAAUCCCAGUUUCCCCAGGCCACUGCUGGAACAAAAAGCCUCACUGCAGACAAUGGGCCCUUUCUGUAGAUGCCCGCUCGGGGCUGGGCACAAUCGCCGAUUCAUAAGCCAGGCAAGGCCCCACAAUACCCAGGCUGUGUCCAAGAAGGACACCGACGGGAACUCGGAGAGGCCAGUGUCUUUGGUGGGGAAAGGCUGCUCCCUGGUGGUCCACAGGGGCAGUGCGCAUGACCAGGGCUCCCAGACUUCAGGCAAGGAUGAUGGCGGAGAGACACGGCUUAGAAGUCAUCCCACCAUAUGGACGGGGAAACUGAGGCCCAGAGACAUGCAGAGACUUGGCUCGGACUGUUUUCUUCAAUGUGAGAUAGGAUUUGAAGGGGGAAAGUGAAGGAGUUAUUUCACCUGAUGUGUUAAGUGCGGAGUGAGGUAGGUGGGAUUUAGAGGGGAAAGCGAAGAAGGAGUUAUUUCACUCAAAGUGCGGAGUGACGAAGAUGAAGGAACACGAGGUAGCCGGGCAGUGGGUGCUGAGUUGGCUGACACUGGCUUCCUUCCAGAGCGCAGGGGUGCAUCCUUCCGAACCUCGCAUUCAGUGACGUCACCUUGGUGAUUUGAAGUAGGCCCUGGUGGAAGUAUUUACACCAUGGACAUCAGCAAAUGCAACCAAGACCUCCCGCUACCCUGGAGAGCUGGGUUUAAGACAUUUGCCAGCACACCACUGCCCAGGGACCAGUCUCAGCUCCAGAGCUGUGGGUUAUUGGUAAAGGAUGUGAUUUCAUUGAGCCUCAGUUUCUGUAUCUGUAAAGCAGGAAUCUAUCACUUAUGAAAUAUCCUGUGCAGGCACAAUCUUAGGUGUGGAGGAUACAAUACAACUCUUUGUAAUAGUUAAUUUUAUGCAUCAACUUGACUGGAUCACAGUGUGCCCAGAUAUUUGAUCAAACAUUAUUCUGAGUGUUUCCGUGACAAUGUUUUUGGAUACAAUCAACAUUUAUUUAAUUGGUUGAAGACCUGAAUAGAACAAAGAGUUCAAUUCUCUCAAGUAAGAGAAUUCCUCCUGUCUGACUACUUCAGAAUUGGGACAUUGGCUUUUUCCUGCCUCUACACUACAACUACACCAUCAAGCCUUCAGACAUGGAAAGGAACCACACUAUUGGCUCUCCUCGGUCUUCAGCUUGCCAACUCAAUGCAGAUCUUUGCAUUUGUCAGCCUUAUAACCAUGUGAGCUAAUUCCCUAAAAUAAAUGUCCUCAUUUAAAUGUA